ACCUCAUUCACUCCCAUCCAAGCUGUAACACCCCGGGUUCCACAAACAACCCAGAAUGCUACUGAACUACACUUCUGACGUCCAUAUAUAAAAUUUCGGCAGCAUCCCCUUUGCAAGAUUGCAUAAAUAAGGGGGCAACAGGGUAUAAACAUAUAUCAUGACAAAAACAUACUAAGUAUUAUUAAUCGGCUAGCAAGGAAAGAUAAACGUACGACCUGAACUGAAUUAACCAGUGCGCACGACUAUAUAAAAAAACAAACUUCCUUUGACAAUAAGUUUCUAAUUAAAUCAUGGCUGCGCCUGGGCAGCGUUAUUGUGAGAGUGUAAGUGGACGUGCUGCUACUCCCCUCAUUCCCAACAUGUAUCAAGUACCUGCAUUGAGUAAUGCAAGAGUGAGAUGACACAUCUCAGCAAGUAAAAUAAUAUCAAACUAUUCAACCACAUAAGAACAUUGUUUUACCACCACCUGAUUCCACAACCUUCUUAUUACCAAGGUGCAUCACGUAUACAACGUACAACACACCUAGUUACCACACCUCGCAGGUAGAAAACCACAAUAGUAACAUAGUAAUGUCACACUUCAUAUAUUCCUCAUGAAUGCAAAUGUCUGCAAAUGCAAGGAUGACUUCUGCCUUCAUACCUCUAAGGAUAUGAAGCUGCAUCGUACCCCUCCUCGGGCAACGUACGAUGCUAAAAAAUGUACCGGUACGGUCGGACCAUAAGAUCACGACAUAACUUCAAAAUGCAAGAUGGAUGAUGCGAUGUGCAUGUCAUGCCUACAACACUUCAUAUAACGUGAUUCAAAAAGAUACUUCAACUUCGUCCAAGAUGGGAAUCAACCACAUAUAUCAUAACCAAAUUAUGAUCAUCCACAAUAUUAGACAAUUGAGAAUUAAUACUUCCAAACAAAUAAACUUCAUCAUAGAAUUCAAUGAUUGACAUAAUUAAAAACUUAAGCAUACUCAAUGACAGGGAAUAGGAUGCAAACCAAACGGUAGCAACCACCACUAUAUUUACUUGCCUUUACCGGAAGUUCGGGCAAAUCCCUAAGUACGAUCCGGAAGUCCACCACCUGUUUUUGACAUACAACUUAGUGCACCUAUUUCACAUAAUCAGGCUCAUAAACGACGCCGCACAUACGCACAAACUCAAACCCCGCCGCGGGUUACAUCUCUCCCCACACCCACCAAACUGCAGCGGCGCUGCUUAAUAAUUUCAUAACUUUAAAAUUAUGACAACAGUGGUAACAAACAAAAACUCCAGAGGCAUCUACAUAAAAUUCCCCACAAGUUUUGUAUACAAUUUAUAAUUAAAUUCUAACAUCUAAUUAGCCCAAAAUAGUCCACAAGAUGAACCCUGUAAUCUGUUUUUUUGUCUUUUGGACAGCGACAUACCCGGAUUCAAACAGCGAUAUCUUUUAAAAUAUAAUUCCAAAUCAAGCGCAUAAGUACUCAUUAGAAAGAUAAGACAAAGCCCUACAUGAUUAUCAUACUGGUUAACAGUAAUUACCCACGAAAAAUUCACAGAAACUGCUAAUACUACUGCUGUUCAUCCACCUGAAAAUCUGUUUUUUUUGGACAGCAACAUAACCGGAUUCAAACAACGAUAUCUCCUAAAUUAUAACUCCGAAUCGAGCGCAUAAGUACUCGUUGGAAAGGUAUGACAAAGCUCUACAUGAUUCUCCCACUGAUCCCCACUAAUUGCCCACGAAAAAUUCCCAGAAACUGCUAAUACUACUGCUGUUCAUCCACCUGAAAAUCUGUUUUUUUGGACAGCAACAUAACCGGAUUCAAACAACGAUAUCUCCUAAAUUAUAACUCCGAAUCGAGCGCAUAAGUACUCGUUGGAAAGGUAUGACAAAGCUCUACAUGAUUCUCCCACUGAUCCCCACUAAUUGCCCACGAAAAAUUCCCAGAAACCCCUAGAACUACUGCUGUUCAUCCUCCCACAAAAAAAUCUGGACAGCACCUAUACCGAUUCGCAUAGGUAAACAUGUAAACAAUUGGAUUGCAGCACAAAUACUAAAAAGAAUGAUCUUAAAAUCACCUUGGGUUCCUCCUUUCCUCCUUCCAUUCUUCCUUCUUCCUCCCUCCAAACUCCAAUGGAAGACUCGCACCCACACGACGGGGUACCAAGCGGGGAGGAUGCACCAUGGUGAGGAGGGGGGGCGGCUAGGGUUGAGGGGGG
rnacentral:lncRNA from 1 species